rnacentral:lncRNA from 1 species
UUUAAUUCUGAAGGGAUGGUGUUUUACCCAAUCCUACAGGUAAGGAAACAGGCUGAGAGGUAAGUGACUUCCCCAUGUCACAGAGCCAGGAUUUGAAUCUGGGCUAAGUCCACAGCUUGGCCUCCUCACCACAGCCUCUUCCCUGCACAGCCUCAGCUGAAGGUCUUUGUGGUCGGUGGAGCAGCCGAUGGCUGACCACAGUGGAGGAAGGUCUCUGCUUGGGGCAUGGAGCUGUGGGACUCUGAGAGCUACGUUUGCAGGCCUUGAUUCACCUUGGGAGGCGUAAUGAUGGAAAUGCAGGGUUCCUAGCCAUUGGGAGAGGGUGUGCUCCCCUUGAUGAUGACACAGACCAUGCCCAGUGUGUACUAUUUGGUGAAAAAAAAGGAUGGCCUGGAACAGUCCGCAAGGACCAGACAGCCACCUGGGCCUUAAACCUCAGAACUGCCUGCAGCUCAGCGUCACUCCCAGUGUGCUGAGGCAUCUAGCAGACAGUCUGGCUACUCAGGAAGGAUUUUGAGCCUCAACUGCUGAUGAUUCCUUAAGCUUUGGAGCCAGCUCGUUGUCCCAGAGCUCCCGUAAGUACAAGGGCAAAUCAGCUUGGCCCCCACCAUUCAGAGGGAGCUGUAAGCUGCUUCUCUGCAAAGAAGGCACCAAAGGGAUGAGGAAGAGGAGGAGGAGGGUUUCCAGUUGCCUCCUCAAGAGUGAGCACUCCAUGGGAAUGAAAACUGCUGCCUGCACAGAAGCCUUGCCACCCAGCUCUUCAGUUUAUGGUAAAUCAGAAACAAAGCAAAUUUACAAAUCAAAGGCCAGGAUGAAGCAUGGGUCUAAGUGAAGGACAAGAUGGCUGGCCUUGGAAUGUAUUUUAACUCUGGAAAAUCCUCUUUGGGACAUUCCUUACUUGCCAUGACUUGUAUCAGAGCUGUUGUGGACAUGUGCCUGCACACACUGGGUCUGCAGUGUCAGAGGAGCAGUGCCACUGGGUCAUCUGUCAGUGUUCUGAGCAACUGGACUAGGAGCUCUGGUGGAGGUGGGAGCAGAGAAGGAAGGUGGGUAUUUAAAUUUACC